CAAGAUAAGCAACAGAUUGCUUUGUGAUUGGCCAAUUGUGGUGAGAACCAGCAGCGCAUUAAAUCAGUGGGAAAUUUGUCAUGAAGCAUAUAAAGGAGGACGGUCUUGGUUGGUGAAAUCAUAACACUGAAAACCCCAUCGAGGUCCUGAACAUCUCACAUCUGCCUGAGCGUCUAACAUGAGGAAUUGGCGCACUGUCAUGUGUAAGGUGAGCAUUUUGGAAAAGAAGUGCACAAACAAAGCUGCAAGGCUCCGCUCAGAUCUGGAGAGCAAACUGUGUGCAGAGAGGAGCGGUUUGGACCUAUGGGACAGGACGGCUUCCUUAUUUACCAUAAAGAGGGUCUUCGUUUUCCCCAACAGCUUCACCAGAACCACCAGGGAAGCCAUGAGGAUGCUCCCUCACCCUGCUGAGGAUGUCCUGCCGCUAUGCUGCCAGGGAUGAACAAAGGAGAACAUUUGAAAUAUAGUGACUGUGUCCAGCACAUCUCAAAGAUGUUUCUAAGGGACUCUUAGAUUCCUUUUUUGCUAUAUUCACCUUAUUAGGUGUAAAGUGGAAAGAAGAUGUGACCUUAAUGGCUCACAAAUGUGCAUUCUUUGCCUUAAACUAACUUUAGUGUGGUCAUAUAAAGACCAUUAAGAUUCUAUUUUAUUUAAACAGGAAGCCAUAUUUCUUUCAUUACAAGGAUAUCAUUUAUGCCAAUGCCUUAUUUUAGAGAAUAUUUAAGACAUUGUUAUUAAGAUCUGUUGCUUGCAUC